rnacentral:rRNA from 1 species
UACAGAGGUCCCAAGCGUUGUUCGGAUUCACUGGGCGUAAAGGGUGCGUAGGUGGCAAGGUAAGUUUGAUGUGAAAUCUCCGGGCUUAACCCGGAAACUGCAUUGAAUACUAUCUUGCUUGAGGUUGGAGGGGGGACUGGAAUUCUCGGUGUAGCAGUGAAAUGCGUAGAUAUCGAGAGGAACACCAGUGGCGAAGGCGAGUCCCUGGACAACUCCUGACACUGAGGCACGAAAGCUAGGGGAGCAAACAGG